rnacentral:rRNA from 1 species
UACAGAGGUGGCAAGCGUUGUUCGGAAUUACUGGGCGUAAAGGGCGCGUAGGCGGUUCGUUAAGUCCUGUGUGAAAUCCCCCGGCUCAACUGGGGAACUGCACAGGAAACUAGCGGGCUUGAGUUCGGGAGAGGGAAGCGGGAAUUCCGGGUGUAGCGGUGAAAUGCGUAGAUAUCCGGAGGAACACUGGUGGCGAAGGGCGGACUUCCUGGACCGACACUGACGCUGAGGCGCGAAAGCUAGGGGAGCAACGGGGAUUAA